GGUCGGCGAACGAGUGUCUGAAGCAGAGACCCUGGCGCGGCUGGGGCAGGACUUUACUGGCCACUUGCUGUCGACCCGCCUUGUGUGCGCCAUGAAGCGCAAGGCCCCCGACUCAAGGGAGGAGGCCUGUGUGCUGUGUUGCCGGGCCGAUUCGGACCCAGAGAGGUAUGGGGAGAAAUGGCGGAAGGAUGGUCUCUAUGCCCAUGAGACUUGCCUGGUGAGUCUCCCUGGGGCUGCCUGCAGCUUCCCUCUGGUGCCCCAGCCCAGCAGCCUGCAAUCUCCAUGCCCAGCCGGGCAGGAUCGGGCCAUGGGGAGGGGACUGGGUCUGUGGCUGCAGGGAAUCCCAUCCCAAGAGCUCAGUGGGUGUCGACUCCUCCUCGACACCUCCUGCCCCCCCUGCGUCCCUUUGCUGCGCUCUGCUCGGGCUCUUCUCGUCCGCCCCAGCACRGCGUGUGCUCAGCUCAGCAAGGUCCAGCAGGCCAGCGCUGCCUGCAGCAGUGUCCCCCAGCCCCUCGCCCAGGCACUCUCCGCCACUGCCUUCCCUGCCCACAGCACAGUCCACGCUCCCACCUCGCCAGGCCUUUGCACUGCUUGUUGUGGACCAGCUUGAAGGCCCAGGAGCAUUGCAGCUCACCCAGCCUCAGGCAGCGCAGCAUGGCCUGCCCCAACCCUCUCGCCAGUGUCUCAGCAUCAGCCACCAGCAAUGAGCCAUGCCUCCAUGACUUGAUGAGGUCUGGGACCUUUGUGUGUUUCAGUAUCUUGCCAGCGGGCUCCCUGUGAGACACACCAGUGAGACAGGAACCGACAAGUUCCUUCCGGCGGAUAUCAGGCGUGCAGUGAAGCAGACAACUCGGAAGAUGAAGAGCUAGCAGGGGCGUGGGGAGGUUUGUGGUGGCAUGGGUUUGUGCGGGCUCAGCCUGGCCCAUGGGAAGGCAAUCCUGGGGUUUUCCGUCAGUCCCAGGAGCUCCAGAGAGGAUCCAGGAGAAGCCGGAAGUCCAGUCCCUGAGGUGGCUCUGCAGGACGCGACUGCGCAGCGUCCCCAUCCCUGCAGCCUUGGCAAAGGUGUGGGCAGGCCUUGGGGGGCCCCGAGCAUGUCUCUGAUGAGGGGUUGCUGUGCUCUUUCCAGCUCUGCUACGUCUGUGGUGAGCGCGGGGCCAUCACUAGCUGCCGGCAGAAGGGCUGCAAGCGCAGCUUCCACUUCCCGUGCGGCUGYRAAGAYGGCUGCGUCUCGCAGUUCUUUGGGCAGUACAGGUCCUUCUGCCGGGAACAUCUCCCGGAGCAAAGAGUGCAGGCGCAGCUGGAUGGGGAGACCUUCUGCCUCAUUUGUCUGGAGCCCGUGGAGGAAAAGCUCUCCCGCCACACUCUGGUGUGCCCUGCAUGUACGCACACGUGGUUCCACCAGGGCUGCAUCCAGCAAUAGGCUCUCGGGGCAGGCUUCUUCUGCUUCCAGUGCCCGCAGUGUAAAGACAGGGAGACAUUCCUGUGGGAAAUGUCUUCCCUGGGCAUCCGAGUGCCCCUCAGGUUGGUUCUYUCCUGCCCUUGCCCUGUGCCCAYGAGRCAGAAGAGGGGCAYGAGCCUAAGSGGCAGGGGAKGCUCAUGCCCUUGCUUGGCUUCAACCCGGCAGACAACCCACGUGGGAGGCAGASGGUGCCUUUGCCGAGYUGUAYGAGAGGCACCGUSGAUGUGAYGCCAGCCGGUGUCUUYGUGCGCGYGGCCGAGAAGAGGCAGCAGAAGAGGGGUAAGUCAGCAAAGCUGCAAUUUCCCCMCUGCCCACRUGGCRGCAGGUGCCUUGGU
ensembl:lncRNA